UCCCUGAUGGUCCAGUGGUUAAGACUCUGAACUUCCGUUGGAGGGGACACAGGUUUGAUUCCUGGUUGGGGAA
rnacentral:tRNA from 1 species